GUCCACGCCCUAAACGAUGACAACUAGAUGUCGGGAUGGUUUGCCUUCCGGUGUCGUAGCUAACGCGUUAAGUUGUCCGCCUGGGAAGUACGGCCGCAAGGUUGAAACUCAAAGGAAUUGACGGGUACCCGCACAAGCGGUGGAGCAUGUGGUUUAAUUCGAUGCAACGCGAAGAACCUUACCUGGUCUUGACAUCCUAGGAAUCCUGCAGAGAUGCGGGAGUGCCUUCGGGAACCUGGAUACAGGUGCUGCAUGGCUGUCGU
rnacentral:rRNA from 1 species